UUGAAAUCUGUCACUAAAUUACUAAUUGUCCUCAAUAUUGACACAUAGACGACCCAGGCCUAAGUAAAACCAUGUGAAUUGCCAGACCAGUCAAAUAAAUGAAAUAAAUGAACAAAUUUGGGUAGGAUUGGACUGUUGGGUGUGUGUAUGAUCUUGGACAAAAGGGAACUGCAACUCCAAAAUCAAAUCAAAACGAACUGUAAGUAUUGUAGAUCUGAAGCAUACAAAAAGCCCUGUCUCCCACCUAAAUAUUCCACAAAUUUGAAGGUAAGUCUAACUUUAUCACAUGUUUUUAAUAGUUAGAUUUGCAAAGGGAAGUCCCUCACAUGUCUCUCCUUUGGAAUGUCUUUUAUGAGUAGCUCUAGUUUUUUUCUCUAUGGAUUAAGUGACAACUUCCAUAUAGAAAAAACAAAUAAAGAAUUCUGAUUGUAACCACCAAUCAGGACACUGGCUCCACUUCUCUGGAAUAGGUAAGCCAGUGUAUACUGCAUACUUAGAAGAAAAAUGACUACUGUGCAUAAAAAUAAAACAGUGGCUUACCACAGUUUCCAUUCAGAAACACCCUCUUGCAUUACUAGCUUUUGUGACUAUGUUAAAUUUUCUCAGAGUGACCCACCCUCCUCUGUUUUGAAACUCAGCUUCUAUUUUGUACUAGAGGAAAGCAAUAAUUGUGACUCCAUUUGCAGAUAAGGAGAACAGAGGAAUCAUCCCAUUCCGUGGUCUUUCCCUGCCACUGAUGUCAGGACCACAACGCCUGAAGCUAGAGCACUACUUGUCUUUCUGCAGGAAUGCACAGGAUAUUUGAACUGUGCCUGAAGUUACUCUCGUUACAUAUUGGCACUCCAAAUGGCCAGAUGGUGUAACUAACAGUCAGAUCACCUUGGGUUACCAAUGACACAUCCUCCCUGCUGGUCACAGCCCCACCCAAGAGCCUCAUUCUGAAGCACUCAAGGAAGAAACCUAGAAUGCAACCAUGAACGUGAAUGGAGAAUACUAUGGAAGAUAGAGAACAACCAAGGAAAUGUCUCUAUAAAUAGGUUAAGUUUUCCUGUCUAAAAUGGUACAUGAGUAUGGUGUUAAAGUGCUGUCGAGGGUUCACAAGUGCAAGAAGGCUGGGAUGUGCCUUAGAGAGAAAAUACAUGUGUUAGACAAGCUUCAUUCAGUGUGAAGGGGAUUUGUGCCCCCUCCAUAUGCACCUGGUACCGGGGUGAUGGUUACUCUCCCCUCAAGCCAGCCAGCAAAUUGAACACAUGGCAUAGGCAAAUCCCCUCGUAUUAUCAGUAGAGAGAACACAAGUUCAAAGAUACAGUUAUCAACGAUUUCAAGACUGUGAUGACAGAGCAUUGUGCCAACGGUGGGGCAUUUCUGAACACGGGCCCUGGGUGGCUGUAGUGGCUGCAGCCCGUGAAGCCACCUGCUGGGUGUCACAUCACAGGAGAGAGGGAUAACCAGUUGCCAGAAUCCAGAAUAUGGUUAGGAUCCUUGGAGAACAGAACACCUGACCAGGGACCACCAUGGCUCUGUACAGAAUCCUCUGGAUAUCAAUACACUCCCAUCCUUGGGGCUGGACAGACUGAUGGAUCCAUCUGUAGGGCAGGCGCAGCCAGAACAGAAAACUGAACAAGAAGCUAAUGAGUUGGAGUCCAACCAGGAAACAGAGGACUUGGAAUUAACAGGAAUUCCAAAAGAGAACAGCAAGUCUAGCUCCUCAGGAGGGAGGAGGAGUUUCCUGGAGACUUCGUGAAGAAUGGUCAAACUUCCCAAGCAAAGAGUAUGACCAUGCCUCACAGAAAUCACAAGUGGGCUACCAGGUCUGUCCACACUGGGACUUUCAUCUGCCCCCAUCUCACAGGGGUCCAAGGAAUAUGCAGGAAGUCUGUGGAGAGUCUGUGGAGGGUUCCUGGCAUAUGGGAGGAAGAGGAAGAUCCAACACAUCCAGAGAGGUGUGAGAGCCCCCUAAGUAGACUUGCUGAAACUUUGAGCUCUUAAUGACUUCCUCCUUCACUAGGAGGUCCCUGAGAUCUCUUCCAGUCUCUUCUUCAUCCCCAUAAAAUGAAGGCACAGAAAUGACUCAAUUCUGAAGUACUAUUUAUUGUCUAGAUCAGUAUACUGUGACUUCAAGUUUUCAGAAAAUUUAAGUUUGCUCAGUUUAUUUUUCCAGAGAGAAC